rnacentral:rRNA from 1 species
GAUGAACGCUGGCGGCGUGCCUAAUACAUGCAAGUCGAGCGAACAGACGAGGAGCUUGCUCCUCUGACGUUAGCGGCGGACGGGUGAGUAACACGUGGAUAACCUACCUAUAAGACUGGGAUAACUUCGGGAAACCGGAGCUAAUACCGGAUAAUAUAUUGAACCGCAUGGUUCAAUAGUGAAAGACGGUUUUGCUGUCACUUAUAGAUGGAUCCGCGCCGCAUUAGCUAGUUGGUAAGGUAACGGCUUACCAAGGCAACGAUGCGUAGCCGACCUGAGAGGGUGAUCGGCCACACUGGAACUGAGACACGGUCCAGACUCCUACGGGAGGCAGCAGUAGGGAAUCUUCCGCAAUGGGCGAAAGCUUGACGGAGCAACGCCGCGUGAGUGAUGAAGGUCUUCGGAUCGUAAAACUCUGUUAUUAGGGAAGGACAAAUGUGUAAGUAACUAUGCACGUCUUGACGGUACCUAAUCAGAAAGCCACGGCUAACUACGUG